CAGGGAAACGUGCCGUGCGGGGAAACGGGGGCUGUGCCACCGAGCCGGCCCACCGCUCCUCGGCCACGUACCCGAAUGCGGUGCCAAAGGAUGGAGAGAACCUCCGUGGCCGUGCUCGACGCCAAGCACGCGUGCGGGAGCUUCUCGCCAGAGCAGCUCCUCUGGCUUCCAUGACAUGAAUUCUGUAUUUAACCUGGGUCAGCAAGAUCUCAAUCAGCUUCAUUUACUUCAAAAACGUGUGCCUGGAGCUGUUGGGAAAGGAUGGGCCUGUGAAAGAAGAACAGAAAAUGGGAGCUGCUAGAGCAGAGCCCCUCCGCUGUGGGACGGCGCUGCGUGUCCUCCUCUGCCAGCACGUGGUGCGGCACUGGCACACAGCUCAUCGGGCUUCAAGUUCCCCGCUGCUGAAACGUCGUGGCCCUGCGAUGCAAAGCACCGAUCUAGUGUAUCCUACCGUCACAGGUUGAAGCUUGUCCACCAUUUUGGAGGGGUAAAGUCUGGGGAGAAGGUCUCUGCUGGAAUAGGUGGUGGUUGACUGCCCCACGCUGUCUUUAGGUCUAUUCAUCCUUAUUGUCGGUCUUUCAACAGCCUGAGUGGAGCUGGCGCAAGCUCGCAUCAUGUGCUGUAUCUAAUUUGGUAGAAGCAGUCACAUGUCCAUAGUGUGAUCUGCAUCGGAUUUGUACGGCUGAGUCAUCUGGUACCAAUUCUUGCAGAGCGAAGGCUCCAUAGCUGCAGACCCUCACAUGUUCCUGGAGCUCCCGCUCCCGUCUUGGAACUCAUUUAUCACAGCCCUGCCAUAGCCCCGCUCCUCCGCCAUCUCCCCAACUCACCCGACGCCUCUUCUGUAGCUCAGGAACAUCUUUUCCCAGACACACGAGUCACCUCAUCCUGGACUCAGCAGUCCAGUAAGUCACGCAAGCUUUGUAAAUGGUUCCUGAACCGCUCACUCUUUGGCUUAGGCAGCAGAAGAAAUCAGAAGCUGCCGAUAUACCUCACUCCUUCUCCUUCGAUAAGUCCAUAACUUGGCUUCCCUUCACGCAUGGUGUCUCCACUGCCUCUUGCAAAGAGGUCGGAGAAACUUCUAUAUUUUUUUUUUACCAAGCCACUUCUUUCCCCUCUUGGCUGAAGCCCGUUGUCCUGGUCAUCAGCACACCACGCGCUGCGCCUGCGCCUGCCUCUUCCACCCGCAAGACGUAAUGAAAGACAGCCAAAGGCACAACCAUGGUUUCACAAGACAUGGAUGGAAACCGUACACUGGA